GAUGAACGCUGGCGGCGUGCUUAACACAUGCAAGUCGAACGGGAAACCUUUUAAUGCAGCUUCGGCAGAUUUAGCUGGUUUCUAGUGGCGGACGGGUGAGUAACGCGUGGGUAACCUGCCUUAUACAGGGGGAUAACAGUCAGAAAUGACUGCUAAUACCGCAUAAGCGCACAGGACCGCAUGGUCCGGUGUGAAAAACUCCGGUGGUAUAAGAUGGACCCGCGUUGGAUUAGCUUGUUGGUGGGGUAACGGCUCACCAAGGCGACGAUCCAUAGCCGGCCUGAGAGGGUGAACGGCCACAUUGGGACUGAGACACGGCCCAGACUCCUACGGGAGGCAGCAGUGGGGAAUGUUGCACAAUGGGGGAAACCCUGAUGCAGCGACGCCGCGUGAAGGAAGAAGUAUCUCGGUAUGUAAACUUCUAUCAGCAGGGAAGAUAGUGACGGUACCUGACUAAGAAGCCCCGGCUAACUACGUG
rnacentral:rRNA from 1 species